rnacentral:rRNA from 1 species
CCUAUGGGGGGCACCAACCAGCUCGACUACAUCACGCGCUUUGUGCGCGAGCUGAAUGUGGGCAGCGUCAAUGUGCGCGAAGUACCCGGCUACCGGCUGGAGCUCACGCCUUUUGGCGGCAUCAAGGACUCUGGCCUGGGCUACAAGGAAGGUGUGCUGGAGGCGAUGAAGAGCUUCUGCAACACCAAGACCUACUCCCUGCCCUGGUGAUCGAAAGCCAACCAUGAGCCUCAGCAUUCCGGACAUCGUCCAUCUCUUGGAAACCAAGGGCCAUGCGCAGUACGACGGCGAACCCGUCACGCAGCUGGAGCACGCCCUGCAGUCCGCGCAUUGCGCGGAGCAGGCGGGCUCCGGCAGCGCACUGAUCGCGGCCGCACUCUUGCAUGACCUGGGACAUCUGCUGCCCCCCAUAGG